rnacentral:tRNA from 1 species
GCCGGUUUGGCUCAGUGGAUAGAGCUUUGGCCUGUGGACUCAAGGGUCGUGGGUUCGAUUCCAGUCAAGGGCA